UACGUAGGAGGCAAGCGUUGUCCGGAAUUACUGGGCGUAAAGCGCGUGUAGGUGGUGGGACAAGUCUGCUGUGAAAGCGCCUGGCUUAACCGGGCGAGGUCGGCGGAAACUGUCCGACUAGAGGACGGUAGAGGGGGGUGGAAUUCCCGGUGUAGUGGUGAAAUGCGUAGAGAUCGGGAGGAGCACCGGUGGCGAAGGCGGUUCUCUGGGCCUGUACUGACGCUGGAGGAGCGAAAGCGUGGGGAGCGAACAGG
rnacentral:rRNA from 1 species